UCCAAUGUUACUUUUUCUCAGGGUUAUGCUUUCCAGGUUUUCCACUCCUUCUCCUCACUGCCUGCAGAAUGAACGAUCGUUCUCUAGGAUGGCGUAUUUUCAGAAAUGAUAAGCGAGGCAAGAGAUAAUGCAUUCACAGCCUUUGAACAACUGCUGUACAUAUGGCACAUGAUGAAAAUCAGACAAAAAGCAAAGUGAUAUUCUCGAUAAAACAGGCCCGCAGAUCUACUGGAUGGAGACUGACGGGUGUGCCCUCCACAGGGUAUUUUCCCUCGCUGAAACUGGCUUACACCUUGUGGAGGUCUUUUUCAUUUCAUGCAAAGAAAGUGUAUUUCAGCAUUACAGUCUCUUACUAGAUGUGGACUUCACAAAGUGUAUUAAAUACAAACUAAAGAGAAGAAAAAAUCUGAGGAGAGAGGACAAGCUUGCACCAAAAUGUUUGGGCCCAGACUGGGCCAAAAUGAGACGUAGAUUUGAAAGAGCCCAUGGUGAAUAUUCGUAGGCCUGAACUCAAGAAACAAAAGGCUGGAUCUGAACUUUUGAAGACCAGCUGGUACAGCAUGACAUCAAUGAGUUUGGAGUGUCCAGCUCCUUCCUGCGUGCUGCGUUCUCUUUCCAGCUCCAUUAGCCUUCCAAUGCUGUUGAACAAGUCACAGCUUCAGUGGGAGAACUAAAUAUGAAGUCUGAAUCACAGCCUUCUGGUCUGGGCACUUCCCAGGGUGAUGGAAAAAGGUAGGUUUCAAACCCUAUGGCUGAGAAAAGACUGGAAACCCAUUAACCCUUAUUUAUUACAUGAAGGGAGUGAGACAGUUGUGGCUCUGCCACUCACCAUGUAAUAGAAAGGAAGCCGUUGCUGCGUUGCUUUGUGAGAAGCCCAGUGCUGCUAGUGCCUUGCACAUGCUCUGAGCUGAGUUAUUAUUUU
rnacentral:lncRNA from 1 species